UUUAAGUUUUAUUCUUGCUUUUUCGUUCAUUUUUUGCUUGUUCUAUAUGUAAGUUUGUGCGUGAGUUUUAGCUUAUACUCUAAAUGGGUUGGGGUUUAAAAGAGGGUGUUCUUUUUCUCAUUAGUUGUUAUUGGUUGUUCAAGUAUCCUUGUAUUUAGUAAUGCAUAUUAGUUUCGGUUAAAUUUUGUGCCAGCAGCCGCGGUUAUACCUUGGAGGCGUUUGAAUGUGUUUAGUGUUAAAUUGUAGUUAUAUUUUAAUUUGAUUGGCUUUGUUUUGAUUAUUGUUAGGUGAAAUUUUUAUUUUUAUUAUUUGUCUUUUAUUUAUUUGGAGGCUACGAAAUUCUUUUUGUAAACUAGGAUUAGAUACCCUAUUAUUUUAGAAUGUUAAUUUUUGUGCUAGAGUAGUAUUAGUUAUGUUCUUGAAACUUAAAGAAUUUGGCGGUAUCUCAUUCCGUCCAGAGGAAUCUGUCUCGUUAUCGAUAGUCCACGUUGGACCUUUCUUAGUUGCUUUGGUUUGUAUACCGCCGUUUAUUGAUUAUCUUUUUAGAGGUUUGUAAUUUUCUGGUUUCUUUAUUUUGAUUUAUUUCAGGUCAAGGUGCAGCUUGUUUCUAAGUGAAUGAUGGAUUACAUUGUUAUUUGUGUUUGGAUUGUUGAUUUUAAUAUUGGCAUGAAAUUGGAUUUGGUUGUAAUAAUUUGUAGAUUAUUAUUAUGAUAAGUGGUUCUGGGAUAUGUACACAUCGCCCGUCGCUCUCGUUUGUUGUUAAUGAGAUAAGUCGUAACAAAGUGGUUGUACCGGAAGGUGCGGCUGGAUUGAA
rnacentral:ncRNA from 1 species